rnacentral:rRNA from 1 species
UCAGGAUGAACGCUAGCACAGGCUUAACACAUGCAAGUCGAGGGGUAACGAUGAUAGAAGCUUGCUUUAUUGAUGACGACCGGCGCACGGGUGAGUAACGCGUAUCCAACCUUCCCUAUACUAGAGGAUAGCCCGGCGAAAGUCGGAUUAAUACUCUAUGUUGUUCGAUGCGGACAUCUAAAUUGAACCAAAGGUUUACCGGUAUAGGAUGGGGAUGCGUCUGAUUAGGUUGUUGGCGGGGUAACGGCCCACCAAGCCAGCGAUCAGUAGGGGUUCUGAGAGGAAGGUCCCCCACAUUGGUACUGAGACACGGACCAAACUCCUACGGGAGGCAGCAGUGAGGAAUAUUGGUCAAUGGGCGAGAGCCUGAACCAGCCAAGUAGCCGUGCAGGAUGACGGCCCUAUGGGUUGUAAACUGCUUUUGCCGGGGAAUAAAGUGCAGUACGUGUACUGUUUUGUAUGUACCCGGAGAAUAAGGGACCGGCUAAUUCCGUGCCAGCCGCUGC